rnacentral:rRNA from 1 species
AAUCUCAGUUCAGACUGCAGGCUGCAACUCGCCUGCACGAAGUCGGAAUUGCUAGUAAUCGUAGGUCAGCAUACUACGGUGAAUACGUUCCCGGGCCUUGUACACACCGCCCGUCAAACCAUGAGAGUUGGCAACACCCGAAGUCGGUAGUCUAACCGCAAGGAGGACGCCGCCGAAGGUGGGGUUGAUGACUGGGGUGAAGUCGUAACAAGGUACC